rnacentral:rRNA from 1 species
GACAGAGGGGGCAAGCGUUGCUCGGAAUCACUGGGCGUAAAGGGCGCGUAGGCGGGAUGGCAAGUCGGUCGUGAAAUCCUCGGGCUCAACUCGAGGGGGUCGGCCGAUACUGCCGUUCUUGAGGGAUGCAGAGGAGACUGGAAUUCCCGGUGUAGCGGUGAAAUGUGUAGAGAUCGGGAGGAACACCGGUGGCGAAGGCGGGUCUCUGGGCAUUCCCUGACGCUGAGGCGCGAAAGCGUGGGGAGCAAACGGG